GAUUCCCUAGGUCCCUAGAAGAUCGUUAUAAGCGAAUUUGACUGUAUUUUCAUAAUUUUAUCAGAAAAUAAUAUUAUUUUUGUGUGUACGGACUACGAAUAACCAAUUGCCAAUAAUUGGUCAUUAGCGCACAAUCAGUUAUACGCUAUUGCAAUAUUGCGUGUAUAGCCCCCUACGCUGUUUUACACUUUUGUAAUAUUUAUUAAUUGGGUUGCAGAUUUAGAAGAACCAAUUUACCCUGGCCAAAUUAU